AUUAUCCUACGGGGGGCAGCAGUGAGGAAUAUUGGUCAAUGGUCGGGAGACUGAACCAGCCAAGCCGCGUGAGGGAGGAAGGUACAGAGUAUCGUAAACCUCUUUUGUCAGGGAACAAAGGCGGGGACGUGUCCCCGGAUGAGUGUACCUGAAGAAAAAGCAUCGGCUAACUCCGUGCCAGCAGCCGCGGUAAUACGGAGGAUGCGAGCGUUAUCCGGAUUUAUUGGGUUUAAAGGGUGCGCAGGCGGUCUGUUACGUCAGCGGUCAACACCCGGGGCUCACCCCCGGCC
rnacentral:rRNA from 1 species